GUUAACAGACCGAUCUUCCCCAAUAGCUCACAUUGAUGGGAAGGUUUGGCAACUCAAUGUACUCUUUGCCACUUGGGACUAUAGUAUGUUCUAAGGGUUGGUCUAUUCGCCUAUUAAAACGAUAGGUGAGUGGGUUCAUGAGACGGUUUUA
rnacentral:ncRNA from 1 species